AAGUGUAGUUUAAUGGUAGAACUGAAGCUUCCCAAGCUUCUGGCGCGGGUUCGAUUCCCGUCACUUG
rnacentral:tRNA from 1 species